GGAGUCUGGACCGUGUCUCAGUUCCAGUGUGGGGGACCUUCCUCUCAGAACCCCUAAGGAUCGAUGGCUCGGUGGGCCGUUACCCCGCCGACUACCUAAUCCUACGCAUCCCCAUCCCUCGGCGAUGAAUCUUUCGUCCAACUUAGAUGCCUGCAUCGGACAACAUAGGGAAUUAAUCCGACUUUCGCCGGGCUGUGCCCUACCAAGGGGAAGGUUGGAUACGCGUUACGCACCCGUGCGCCGGUCGCCAUCAAAGGAAGCAAGCUUCCUUUAUGCUGCCCCGCGACUUGCAUGUGUUAAGCCUGUAGCUAGCGUUCAUC
rnacentral:rRNA from 1 species